rnacentral:tRNA from 1 species
GCGGGCGUAGCUCAGUUGGUAGAGCGCAAGCUUCCCAAGCUUGAUGUCGUGGGUUCGAGCCCCAUCGCCCGCU